AGUGAACGCUGGCGGUAGGCCUAACACAUGCAAGUCGAACGGCAGCACAGUAAGAGCUUGCUCUUACGGGUGGCGAGUGGCGGACGGGUGAGGAAUACAUCGGAAUCUACCUUUUCGUGGGGGAUAACGUAGGGAAACUUACGCUAAUACCGCAUACGACCUACGGGUGAAAGCAGGGGAUCUUCGGACCUUGCGCGAUUGAAUGAGCCGAUGUCGGAUUAGCUAGUUGGCGGGGUAAAGGCCCACCAAGGCGACGAUCCGUAGCUGGUCUGAGAGGAUGAUCAGCCACACUGGAACUGAGACACGGUCCAGACUCCUACGGGAGGCAGCAGUGGGGAAUACUGGACAAUGGGCGCAAGCCUGAUCCAGCCAUACCGCGUGGGUGAAGAAGGCCUUCGGGUUGUAAAGCCCUUUUGUUGGGAAAGAAAAGCAGCAGGUUAAUACCCCGCUGUUCUGACGGUACCCAAAGAAUAAGCACCGGCUAACUUCGUG
rnacentral:rRNA from 1 species